rnacentral:rRNA from 1 species
UGGGGAAUAUUGGACAAUGGGCGAAAGCCUGAUCCAGCGACGCCGCGUGGAUGAUGAAGGCCUUCGGGUUGUAAAGUCCUUUCAGUAGGGAAGAUAAUGACGGUACCUACAGAAGAAGCUCCGGCUAACUUCGUGCCAGCAGCCGCGGUAAUACGAAGGGAGCUAGCGUUACUCGGAAUUACUGGGCGUAAAGCGUGCGUAGGCGGUUUUGUAAGUCAGAAGUGAAAGCCUAGGGCUCAACCUUAGAAUUGCUUUUGAUACUGCAAGACUAGAGUAUCAGAGAGGAUAGUGGAAUUCCUAGUGUAGAAGUGAAAUUCGUAGAUAUUAGGAGGAACAUCAGAAGCGAAGGCGACUGUCUAGCUGAUUACUGACGCUGUUGCACGAAAGCGUGGGGAGCAAA